rnacentral:lncRNA from 1 species
AGCUGACUCCCAGCUGCCUCAGCUGAGUGUGCUAGUAGUUCAGCUAGUGGAGCUGACUUAGUAAUGGCCGAGCUGAAGUGAGCUUAACCUAACUCCGUUGAGCUGGCGAACUACCUGUUCCAUCCUCCUGCUACCGUCUUACUUGUCCUAGCUGACUCUCCACUUGUGUAAGGUUAAUUCUAAGUUUUCUUACGUCCUUAACCUUCUUAGCUGGCCAUGGAACGCUUGUCUUGAUGUCCUAAGACUGACUAGUACGUUUCCUCGAACCAUGGCCGUCCCAAUGAUCCUAUUCAGGAACCGGGAUGUUACAAGUCUCCCCCACUAGCAAUGGAUUCAUCCUCGAAUCCGAGUCAUGUGUUUCAUCCAACACAAACUGGCAAACCAUUUUGGAAACUUGGCCUUCAUCGUGGCCUC